UGUUUGUGGGGGGGCAGGGAGGUGUUGGGGGGACAACACAGGUGUAACUCGGAGUAUUCACAGUCUAUUAAAAAAGCGGGAGGAGAUUAAUAGACACAAAUGAGAGUGAGCUCGCCACAAAGAGUUGGAACAAAGCAACAGAGGGUGCGUGCACAAAGCAGACAUCGCGCACGCCGUUAAUGCUUCUUGAUGUGGAUGCACGAACGCCACCUUCUCAUGUGUCCAGCCGACAAACACACACACAAAAAAAGGCUGCGUGGUUCAAUAAUAUUUAAUCAGCGAAUGGUGCUUUGGUGUCACAAAAACCUUUCGAAGUGGAGAAACUGAAUAUCAAAGAGCAAAAUUUCUUAUGACAAUGGAGUCGACUCUCAAAUGUUUUGUCUCUGCUGACUGUUAAAUAUUCAUGUCAAGCGUUGUUUGACUCGACUCAAUGGAGCAGAGGGGGAAAAGAAGUGAAUCACAGACAGAUUUCUGUGUGCGUGGAGAUAGAGACAGUCUGUGUCCUACUUUUAGUUUUUUUUUUUCUUUUCCUUUAAUUCAGGCGAGGUUUACGCGCUUUAGCUCCACCGUUAUCACAGUGCUUAUACACACAAAUACAC